UACGGAGGGGGCAAGCGUUGUCCGGAUUUAUUGGGCGUAAAGAGCGUGUAGGCGGCCAGACAGGUCAGCUGUGAAAACUCGAGGCUCAACCUCGAGACGUCGGUUGAAACCGUCUGGCUAGAGUCCGGAAGAGGAGAGUGGAAUUCCCGGUGUAGCGGUGAAAUGCGCAGAUAUCGGGAAGAACACCCGUGGCGAAGGCGGCUCUCUGGGACGGUACUGACGCUGAGACGCGAAAGCGUGGGGAGCGAACAGG
rnacentral:rRNA from 1 species